UAAAACUGCAAAUCUACAAACGAGAUAAUGCCGAAUAAGUAAAUUUCAAAAAUACGAACAAGAAAGAAUAUCAUUUAAAGAUGAUUUCUAUCUUUCGUUGUUUUUAUAACCCUCACAUAUUACAAACCUCGAACAUUUAUUAUAUAUAAAUGUAUUCU
rnacentral:lncRNA from 1 species